GUUUCUGUACUAUAUUG
rnacentral:misc_RNA from 1 species